GGCAUGUAUAAGUUAAUUAGACUAUUACCUUGAAAAGGUAAAUGUAAACGGCAAAUAUGUUUUUCUGCCA
rnacentral:tRNA from 1 species